rnacentral:lncRNA from 1 species
CGGUAGAGAAGAGAGGUAUCCCAAGGAGAGUUGGGCCAUUGGUUCCAAAGUAGUGAAUCAAGGGACCGAAAGGUGUCCAUGGAUCCCACCAAAAAAAUGUAUCAUCUCCAUUCCCAAUUUUUAUCUUGAGAAAAUAGCAGGCUUUUGACCGUAGCUUCAGAAGUUUCCUUAACAUCGAAGAAAACCGGUAGUUUUUUCAUUUAGUGCCCAAAAAGUU